GGGGAAUUUUGGACAAUGGGGGAAACCCUGAUCCAGCCAUCCCGCGUGUGCGAUGAAGGCCUUCGGGUUGUAAAGCACUUUUGUCAGGGAAGAAAAGGUUCUGGCUAAUAUCCGGAACUGAUGACGGUACCUGAAGAAUAAGCACCGGCUAACUACGUGCCAGCAGCCGCGGUAAUACGUAGGGUGCAAGCGUUAAUCGGAAUUACUGGGCGUAAAGCGUGCGCAGGCGGUUCGGAAAGAAGGAUGUGAAAUCCCAGGGCUCAACCUUGGAACUGCAUUCUUAACUACCGGACUAGAGUAUGUCAGAGGGGGGUAGAAUUCCGCGUGUAGCAGUGAAAUGCGUAGAUAUGCGGAGGAAUACCGAUGGCGAAGGCAGCCCCCUGGGAUAAUACUGACGCUCAUGCACGAAAGCGUGGGUAGCAAAC
rnacentral:rRNA from 1 species